rnacentral:rRNA from 1 species
UCCAUGAAGCUGGAUUCGCUAGUAAUCGCGCAUCAGCCACGGCGCGGUGAAUACGUUCCCGGGCCUUGUACACACCGCCCGUCAAGCCAUGGAAGCCGGGGGGUGCCUGAAGUGCGCUGCCGCGAGGAGCGCCCUAGGGUAAAACCGGUGACUGGGGCUAAGUCGUAACAAGGUACC